rnacentral:rRNA from 1 species
UUUACUGUGUAGUUAUGGUUCGUAUUUAUCAAUUUUAGCAAGUCUUUUCUUUUUCUAUGUGGUGUACGCCACAGUAACACAAGGUGAAAAAUGUGUUAUGAAUCCAUGGGCAGUUAAUGGUGAAUUGACAACUUCCACAUUGGAGUGGACGGUGGCGUCACCUCCAGCUUUUCAUACUUUUGAGGAAAUUCCUGCGAUUAAGGAGUUUUCUUCUCAGACCGUGUUAAAGUAAUUGAUUGUCGGGUUUCAAGUUCGAGGGUCUACUUUGAUGGACCCUCUUCUUGGCGUGGAGUAUAGUCUAUAUAUUUUUUUUGUCCAAAUUUCAGAGAGUGCGCUAACGCAUGAAAUCAGCCGCCUGGGGACUACGGCCGCAAGGCUAAAACCCAAAGGAAUUGACGGGGGCUUACACAAGCGGUGGAGCAUGUGGUUUAAUUCGAAACAACGCGCAAAACCUUACCAAUCCUUGACAUAUGAAAAACCAGAGUGUUUACUUGCUCUGUUUCUUUUAUACAGGUGCUGCAUGGCUGUCGUCAGUUCGUGGUGUGAGCUGUUGGGUUAAGUCCCAGAACGAACGCAACCCUCCUUUGAAAUGAAGGGUCUCCUUUUUCAAAGACUGCCAAGGAUAUCUUGGAGGAAGGUGAGGACGACGUCAAGUCCGCAUGGCCCUUAUGGGUUGGGCUACACACGUGCUACAAUGGGAAUGACAAAAGGAGGCAACAUGGCAACAUUGAGCAAACCCAAAAAAGUUUCCUGAGUUCGGAUUGUUCUCUGCAACUCGAGAACAUGAAGUUGGAAUCGCAAGUAAUCGUAGAUCAGCACGCUACGGUGAAUUUGUAUCUAAGCCUUGUACACACCGCCCGUCACACUCUGAAAAUUUUCAUGCCUUGAAGCAAAAGAAAUUCGCAAUGAACACACAGCCAAAAAACAAAAGACCACACUUUCCUUCUUUUUAUCUGUGUCGUUGUUGGGUUCUUUUCUAGAGUUAGGAAGGUAAUUGGAGUGAAGUCGUAACAAGGUAGCUGUAGGGGAACCUGUAGCUG